rnacentral:rRNA from 1 species
GACGAACGCUGGCGGCGUGCCUAAUACAUGCAAGUAGGCCGCAGUUGCGAACGGGUGAGUAACGCGUAGGUAACUGACUAUUAGAGGGGGAUAACUAUUGGAAACGAUAGCUAAUACCGCAUACUAGUAGAUGUACCUGCGUUGUAUUAGCUAGUAGGUAGGGUAAUGGCCUACCUAGGCGACGAUACAUAGCCGACCUGAGAGGAGGAUCGUCGACACGGGAACUGAGACACGGCCCAGACUCCUACGGGAUGCAGCAGUGGGGAAACUUCGGCAAUGGGGGGAAGCCUGACCUAGCAACGCCGCGUGAGUGAAGAAGUUUUUCGGAUCGUAAAGCUCUGUUGUUUAGGAAGCGGUACUUAACCAGAACGGGACGGCUAACUACGUGCCAGCAGCGGCGGUAAUG